rnacentral:ncRNA from 1 species
CUCAACGGGGUGCGGAAAACAACGAGCGCUGCUUGAAAACGCAGCGAGCCGUGUUCAGGCGACGGCGGCCAGCGCACAGCAACCGGAGUGUACUUAAGUACAUGAGGAUUGCGAGCACUGCCCAACGUCGGAUCAACACGCGCGCAGCACGUUUUUUUCCGCUGAGAGCACACCCGUCGAACCUGAUCCGGUCAAUACCGGCGGAGGGAUUUGAGU